CCACUCUGUAACUGUCACUCUGUAACUGCCACUCUGCAACGGCUUCCCACAUGGAUGGAGCCAUUGAGCAACUGGGCACCAAAAGCUAAGGGUGUCCUGAAGUUCACGGGCCUGGAGCAGCAGGCUGGGCCUUCCCUGAGACAGGAAUGAGGAUCAGGGCUUUGCGGACACCUCAGUGCGCUUUUCAAUGUGCUUUCCUGGGGCUACUGCACAGCCGGUGUCACAGCCGGUGACCUUCCUCCUCACUUGACUCUGGGGCUUGGUCCACAUCAUACCCAGCAGUCUUAAAACCUUCCACAGAAGGGGACAGCAAGGACCAGGUGUCCGAAGCCUUUCCCAUUGGCGCCUCUCCAGCUGCCUGCCCGUCUCCCAUUCUGAGGUCGCUCCACUGGCCCUCCAUGCUUCCCAGCUAGGGCCCUUUCUGCUCACACAGGGCCUGCCACAUUCCUGCUCCUGACAGCAGGCUCCUCCAGAUUAUGUCUGCAGAGGUUGAAGUCCAGACUUUCUAGGGAUGACUAUGCAGCCACUGAAUUGUUUUUUUAUAAGCCACCAACACAUUCAAAUGAGCACUGUGUUCUGAGAAGCCCCGAGGCCAGUUGGAAGAUGUACCAGUUCCCUUCAGUGGGCCCCCAGCUGACCUAUCGCACCGUUUUGGCUCCUCUGCUGUCAACCUUGACUUCCAGCCUAGACUUCCUCCUCUGAGAAGGCCAAGGUCCUAGGAACAGAGAUUAGGUGGCUUCUUGACUGGUCUAUGUGUCCUUUGCUGCAUCGGAAGGACGUGGUCUGCAAACCGUUCAAUGUUGGGCUUUGCCGAGGGGCUUUCUCUUAUCUCCCACUCUCCUUCCUCAGAACAGAAUUCAGCUGGUUUCAAUGUGGGGAUUAACGUAACCCAAGUGAGCAAUCUACUCUUCUGCAUGGAGAAUACUCUCAGGUGCGUUGUUUAGACGUGUUGUCUCCAGAUAGAGCUGUUCCACCCAGAUGGGAGCAAGGAUCGCCACACAAGGGAAAAUACAGACCUCCCAGUCGCCCCCUGUGGGUGGAGCUAUAGACUCAGUAAACACUGGCCUGGCAGAGGAGACUUCUCGGUGGAGCUGCCUCCAGGUUGUGCUGGAGACUUGGGAGUACAGCCUUUCUGAGUGCUCACCUAUGCCAACGGGACGGCAGGGGCUUUAUGGUUAUGCAGCGGUUCAUGUUAUGUAGCGGCCUGUGAGUAGCCUCCCAUCCAUGCUCCUGUCGCUGACCCCAAUAAAUUCGUCGGUUCAGCUCGAUUUGGGCAGACUGUUUCUUUGGUGGCCCAUUGUCCUGUCUCUUUGCUUCGUUGCCCCGAGUCCCUCAUAAAUAGACAUAUACUCUGCAAAUGAAACUCUGCUCUUAAAACAUCCAUUCCUUUGAGGCCCAUCUUCUAACCAGCCAACUCUAUGGGCUUCCCACCCCUGUCAUUCUAGCCACUGGCUGCUGGGGUUCCCCUGAGUGAUGUCUUUGGACAGGCCACUGACCAAUCUGUCUCAAACGGCAUUGACAAGCGUGGAGGUGCCAAGGGCGAACACAGGGUGAAGGAUGAGAGACCCGAUGACGAUUUUACUACUAACCUGUCCCAGAGGAGUGGACCGAGACUUGUCACCAAGGGAAGGAGACAGGAGUAAGGUGAAGAGAAGCCAGGGACUGAGCCUUUGCUGGGCCUGCACAGCAUGACCAUUGGAACUGGCUUCGGGGAGAAAUCAGGGUGGGGUGUGGGCUCCACAGGUGGCCUCUCUCGAGUUGGGGAAUGCUGGGAAAUUGGGGUUGUAACAGUAACUCUCUCUGUUCACCUCUCAGGGAUCCAGUAAGGUCUAAGAGGCGUUGUGGGUGGGGUGUGGGGUUUGGGUCAUGAAUUCCUGUGUCGUUUUUCUCCUGUAGGCAUGAAGUGAGAAUAAAACGGAAACGUCAGUUAACUUAGAAAGGGCAUGGAGGAGAAGAGCCAACGACCUAGAUCCGCAUGAGACUAGAGCCCGACUAAGUUAGUUCAAAUUACUGGGACAAAGUCACAGGCUAGCUUCUACCUCUUCUUCCUCAAGCUGCACAUGUAAGGACUUCAAAGACCAGCAUGCAUCUCGGGGCAGCAAAUGGGACUUGGAAAUACACUGAAUAUAUGAGGUGCCAGCUGAUCUUGGGAGGCUUAGGAUGUCCUCGGAGACAGGAAGAGUCAAAAAAGAUUUGGACAGGGUGGGAAUACUAAUGCCAGAGGGAUUCUGGGAGUCAAGGGAGGAGGGAGGGUUAGCCAGGGAGCACUGAGUACCAGACAGUGCUUAUCCCAGAGAGAUAAAAUGGAGGCUGGAACACUGGGCUCCUGAUCUUCACUUAUACCGCUCUGGACGUUCAAAACCCUUACCCAUCCUUCAUGGUAUUUAAUUCUCACAACACAGUAGGGCAGAUAUUCUUUCUCAGUGACCAGGAAAGGGGGCCUGGGGCUUACAGAUGGACAUAAAGAACAGCGAGGUGAGGCAGGACCAGAUUCUAAGCCAAGCCCUCUGCCUCUAAAUUCACUCUGAUUUUCAAAGAACAGGAACGUGAUGAAAAACACGUUUGAAUCCAUUGUAGUAACAGCUACCGUUUGUCGCGGGCUCCGAUGCGCCAGGCGCUAUGCUAAGAGCCUUGAAGUCAUCACUGUCACCAUGUUCCUGUGAGGAAGGUCCUCUAAUCCUCUACUGUGCUCAGGGGGGAGGAAGCUGAAGCCCAGAGAGAUUAAGACACUUGCCCACGGGGCAGAGCCGUGAUUGGAACCAAGAUGAAUCUGGCUUCAAAUCUGUGUGUGUGACCUUUGUAAUAUUUUGCCUGUUCCUCAAAGAGGAGGACUCCGGGGGCCUUUGUCCCCACGACCUGAUGCUGUUUGAAAAGAUAUGAAGAAGGAAGGCAGCUCUCCAAACCUUCAGCUUAGCUGAGCUGCAAGCAGCACACAGCUUCCUUGGGAUGGGUAAGGAAGAAGGCUGGCUGAGCGCUGGGUACACGGUCCACAGGCGACCCACUCAGACCAGGACUUCACGCCAGUGGCCACCUCCUUUCUCCCAAGGCCUAGAUAAAGUCACCUUGCCAGUGUCUUCCCAGUGGAGUCUGUAGUAAAGGGGGCCAUGGUGCUUUUGAACUUGAAAUAUCUCCACAGGCUUGUGUUCAGAAAAUUUAGUUUCCUAUUUAUGGUACUGUUUUGAAAAAUAUAGGGCUUGUAAGAGGUGGGGCCUGCUUGGUAGAAAGAGGCAUGAGAAGUGGGCCUUCAAUAGUUAUACCAGUCCCUGUUCCUGGCCUGUGUAUUCUACUUUAAGAUCAGCCACUGUGUGAGGAGCUAUCCUACCCCAUGGGCCCACUGCUUUGGACAGAACGGCUCCUUCCUUCCUCCCGGCCAGGAUGGACUGAAAGCCCUCAGAAGCUGAGAGUCUAAAUCUUUCCCUCCUCGUAUUGGAGGAGUCCUGAUGUGUUUGGUCCUGAUGACACAGACAUUCAUGAUAAGGCACCGUGAGUCUCUGGUUUUCCAAGCAGUACUAUGGGGCCUGGAGGACCUCCCCUGGGUGCCCAGAGACUCCUGUCCCCAAGUGUCCCUGGAAAGUCUUUCUGUUUUGGUUCUGAGUCCUCAGCUCACAGAAGGACUCUUGGCACAGCAAAAACACUUCACAAAUAUGGGUGGGAUGAAAGAGCAAACCCGUGAAUGGGUGUGCCCAGAUUUCCUUCUGUGAUUGUCCUAUGCCUGGACUAGACUGGUCCAGGCUCAGUAGAGCCUGGGGUGUAUGUCUGUGCACCCUACUUCAAAAGACCCUCCAGGCUGAAGGUCAUUUUCCUCCCCUCUGUCUACCAUUUCUGCCUGAGAUCUCUGCUAAGACCCUUAGAGAAGUCCUUAGUCUUUAGGCCCCUGGCAGGAGGUGGGGUUCUCCAGUCUUGCCUGCCCUCCUCUGUCUUGCUGUAGGAUGGAUGGGGGGUAAGGAAUAAAUGAGUCUUAAGUUACACUUGUAGUUGCUCCACCAGCUGGAGAAAGGAGAAUAUAGGAACAGAUGUACUGUUUCCUACUGGAAGGUACAGAAGGGGAGACUGGCUAUUUCGGAAGGGAAGGUGGUUAAUACAGGUAAGUUAUAAUUAUCUCUGCUUUCUG
rnacentral:lncRNA from 1 species